rnacentral:tRNA from 1 species
GGGCGGAUAGCUCAGCGGUAGAGCGCUUCCCUUACAAGGAAGAUGUCGGGGGUUCGAUCCCCUCUUCGCCCACCC